rnacentral:rRNA from 1 species
GGGAUAGAAUUCCAGGAGUAGCGGUGAAAUGCGUAGAUAUCUGGGGGAAUACCAAAGGCGAAGGCAGUCCCCUGGUCCGAUACUGACACUGAGGUACGAAAGCGUGGGGAGCAAACAGGAUUAGAUACCCUGGUAGUCCACGCCCUAAACGAUGUCGAUUAGCCAUUGGAAGGACCCCUUUUCCUUUCAGUGACGUAGCUAACGCGUUAAAUCGACCGCCUGGGAAGUACGACCGCAAGGUUAAAACUCAAAGGAAUUGACGGGGACCUGAACAAGCGGUGAAUGAUGUGGAUAAAUUCGAUGCUACGCGAAGAACCUUACCUACCUUUGACAUGGCCAAAGUUCUACCGAGAGGCGGAAGUACUCGUAAGAGGAUUGGCGCACAGGUGCUGCAUGGUUGUCGUCAGUUCGUGUCGUGAGAUGUUGGGUUCAGUCCCGCAACGAACGCAACCCUUAUCUUUAAUUGCUCCUAUUUUAACAGGCACUUUAAAGAAACUGCCAAUGAUAAGUUGGAGGAAGGUGGGGAUCACGUCAAGUCCGCAUGGCCUUUAUAGGUAGGGCUUCACACGUCAUACAAUGGUUAGAACAAAGAGCUGCAAAUUCGUAAGAAGGAGCCAAUCUCACAAACCUAACCUCAGUUCGAAUUGCGGUCUGCAACUCGAGCGCAUGAAGCCGGAAUCGCUAGUAAUCGUGGAUCAGAAUGCCACGGUGAAUACGUUCUUAGGUCUU